rnacentral:rRNA from 1 species
UACGUAGGGACCAAGCGUUGUUCGGAUUUACUGGCGUAAAGGGCGCGUAGGCGGCUUGACAAGUCACUUGUGAAAUCUCCGGGCUUAACUCGGAACGGCCAAGUGAAACUGUCAUGCUAGAGUGCAGAAGGGGCAAUCGGAAUUCUUGGUGUAGCGGUGAAAUGCGUAGAUAUCAAGAGGAACACCUGAGGUGAAGACGGGUGCUGGGCUGACACGUGACGCUGAUGCGCGAAAGCCAGGGGAGCAAACGGG